rnacentral:misc_RNA from 1 species
UUUCCGUAGGUGAACCUGCGGAAGGAUCAUUAAUGAAAAUUAUAAAAAAACGCCAAAGUGAAAUGUGCACGUGUGUUUUUUCAAUCUCUUUUUUUCAUUUUUUUUUUGAUUUGAUUCUUUUUUUUUAUAUAAAAAAAAAGAAGAGGAAAGAAUUAAAGUGAAAAAAAAAAGAGAUAUGAAAAAAUCAAAAAACUUUUAAAACCCUUUAUAAAAUAAAAUAUAGUUUGUCAAUUAUUAUUGUUUCUUUUUUUUUUCACACGACUUUUAUCAAUUGAAAAAAAAGAGAGACGUAAAAUAUAAAAUGAAAAAAAAAACUUUUAACAACGGAUCUCUUGGCUCUC